GUGGGGAAUAUUGGACAAUGGGCGAAAGCCUGAUCCAGCCAUGCCGCGUGUGUGAAGAAGGUCUUCGGAUUGUAAAGCACUUUAAGUUGGGAGGAAGGGCAGUAAGUUAAUACCUUGCUGUUUUGACGUUACCGACAGAAUAAGCACCGGCUAACUUCGUGCCAGCAGCCGCGGUAAUACGAAGGGUGCAAGCGUUAAUCGGAAUUACUGGGCGUAAAGCGCGCGUAGGUGGUUUUGUAAGUUGGAGGUGAAAUCCCCGGGCUCAACCUGGGAACUGACUCCAAAACUGCAUGACUAGAGUACGGUAGAGGGUAGUGGAAUUUCCUGUGUAGCGGUGAAAUGCGUAGAUAUAGGAAGGAACACCAGUGGCGAAGGCGACUACCUGGACUGAUACUGACACUGAGGUGCGAAAGCGUGGGGAGCAAACAGGAUUAGAAACCCUGGUAGUCC
rnacentral:rRNA from 1 species